UCUGGGUUAGUCGGGUCCUAAGCUGAGGCCGACAGGCGUAGGCGAUGGAUAACAGGUUGAUAUUCCUGUACCACCUAGUAUCGUUUUAAUCGAUGGGGGGACGCAGUAGGAUAGGCGAAGCGUGCUAUUGGAUUGCACGUCCAAGCAGUAAGACUGAGUGUUAGGCAAAUCCGGCACUCAUAAGGUCAAGCUGUGAUGGGGAGGGGGAAAUUGUUUCCUCGAGUCGUUGAUUUCACACUGCCAAGAAAAGCCUCUAGAUAGAUAACAAGUGCCCGUACCGCAAACCGACACAGGUAGUCAAGAUGAGAAUUCUAAGGUGAGCGAGCGAACUCUCGUUAAGGAACUCGGCAAAAUGACCCCGUAACUUCGGGAGAAGGGGUGCUCUUUAGGGUUAACGCCCAGAAGAGCCGCAGUGAAUAGGCCCAAGCGACUGUUUAUCAAAAACACAGGUCUCUGCUAAACCGUAAGGUGAUGUAUAGGGGCUGACGCCUGCCCGGUGCUGGAAGGUUAAGAGGAGUAGUUAGCUUCUGCGAAGCUACGAAUCGAAGCCC
rnacentral:rRNA from 1 species